rfam:Gossypium hirsutum cultivar TM-1 chromosome 23, whole genome shotgun sequence
AAUCCAUGGUGAGGACAUCUUCUCAACAAAUCCUUGAAUCUCUCCUAUGUAUCAUAAAGAGUCUCAAUAUCAAACAAACAAAACAAGAGAUCUCAUUCCUCAACUU